rnacentral:rRNA from 1 species
UACGAAGGGGGCUAGCGUUGCUCGGAAUCACUGGGCGUAAAGGGUGCGUAGGCGGGUCUGUAAGUCAGAGGUGAAAGCCUGGAGCUCAACUCCAGAACUGCCUUUGAAACUACAUCGCUAGAAUCAUGGAGAGGUUAGUGGAAUUCCGAGUGUAGAGGUGAAAUUCGUAGAUAUUCGGAAGAACACCAGUGGCGAAGGCGACUAACUGGACAUGUAUUGACGCUGAGGUGCGAAAGCGUGGGGAGCAAACAGG